rnacentral:rRNA from 1 species
AUAGAUGAGAAGGCCUGGAAUGGUUUCUCAUCCAAAAGGCGUUUAGACCAUGCUUCUAGGCGUCGCCAAAGGAUGAGGUCGCGGCCGAUCAGGUUGUUGGUGAGGUAACGGCUCACCAAGCCUAUAACCGGUACGGGCCGUGAGAGCGGGAGCCCGGAGAUGGGCACUGAGACAAGGGCCCAGGCCCUACGGGGCGCAGCAGUUGCGAAAACUCCGCAAUGCGCGAAAGCGUGACGGGGCUACCCCGAGUGCCGUCCGCUGAGGACGGCUUUUCCACGGUGUAAGGAGGCGUGGGAAUAAGGAGAGGGCAAGCCUGGUGUCAGCCGCCGCGGUAAAACCAGCUCUCCGAGUGGUGGGGACAAUUAUUGGGCUUAAAGCGUUCGUAGCCGGCUCAGCAAGUCUUCCGUUAAAUCCAACGAUCUAAUCGUUGGACUGCGGAAGAUACUGUUGGGCUAGGGGGCGGGAGAAGCCGACGGUAUUCUCGGGGUAGGGGCGAAAUCUUAUAAUCCCGGGAGGACCACCAGUGGCGAAGGCGGUCGGCUAGAACGCGCCCGACGGUGAGGGACGAAAGCUGGGGGAGCGA